CUGUGAGGUUUUGUGGGUGUACAGAAGAUUUUUUUUGUGUUUCCGUCAGAGAGGUUACUUCUUCAAUGGAUUGGGGAACUCCUUGUGUAUUAGUUGGAGGUUUGUUUUGACUUAAUUCUUUUUCUGCAAAUGUUUGUAUUUGCUUAGGAGAUUCUAGGUUGGGAAAGGGUAACACAGGUGAAUUUACAAUAAGUGAGUUUAUUGUUUCAUCCAAAGAACUCUCUGUGUAAUCUGAAACAUUUGGUUCCUUCUUGGGUGUUUCAAGCAAUUUUUCGGAGAGUUUGUGGUUUUCAUCUUUUGGCGUGGAUAAAUAUGGUUUAGGGAUGUUAGAACUUUUUAUAUUUUCUUUGGGCCCUUGUGGUGGGUUUGAACGUUCUUCUGGUUGAGUAUUGUUAAUGGGAGUUGAAAUUUGUUUGUCCUCAUUGAAAUUUUUUGUAUAUAUAAAUGGUUUUGAUGUGUAUGCCAUUGAAUUAAGUUUUUGUUCAAAGGGUUGAGGAUCUUCUUGUCUAAAAUGAGCUUCCAUUUUAGUUGGUUCAGAUGGAGAUUGACCAAAUACUUUUUCUAUAGUUGUUUGUACAUUUUUAGGAGGAUCGGAUUGAAAAGUUGAUAUUGGAGUCGGUUUCAUGGUAUCUAAGGUUUGUACUUGUUGGAAGGGUUGAGACCCUUCCUGUAUCAAAGAAGGUUUUGCCUGAUCUUUUUGAGAAGAAGAUUCAUCAAGUAUUUCUUCUAUCAGUUCUGCUUUGGAUGUGAGUGAGUGACUUAAUUUCAUUGUUGAAGAAAUGAUUUCAUCUGCAGAACUUUUCAAAAUCCUUUGAACUUGUUGUUUCUGCAUGUAUGGUUCAGUUGAUGGUUUGCUGAAUUGAUUAGGUUCGUCAUCUAGUUCGGGUAAAAAGGACGGUUGGCUAGUGUUUGAUUCUUCCUUUUUAUAAAAGUUCUUAAGUUUAGAAGGUUCAGAUUUAAUGUCGGUUGGGUCAAUACCUGCUUCAGUACUGGGGACAAUUAUUGAUUGUGGAGUUGAGACUUCCUUCUUCUCUAGGGGUUCUUCUUCAGGUUUAGGAAUUCCUGAUUGGGUAGCUAUCGGGGAAAUCUGUACUCGUUGGAGGGGCUGGAACCUUUCCUGAUUCAAAGGGGUUUCUGCUUGAUUCUGCUGAGAAGCAGCUUCACCAAGAAUUUCUUGUAUUGGUGUUUUCAUUUGUGUUUUUUUAGAUAGGGGUAGUGUUUCCAAAGUAUUUUUCGGCAUUUUGGAGACAUCUUGUUCAACUGGGAUUGAGUCCUUAUCCAAUUUAGAUGGUUUGAUGGUUUGUUUUUGAAGUGCUGAAGUUUUUUUCUCUAUGAAACUUUGAACAGGUUGUGGAUUUUCUUGUUGGUUACUCAAGAAAGUUGACAAUUCCGAUGGUGAAUUAACCUCUUUUUGAGUAUAUUGAAGAGUGGAAUCAAGAAAGUUUGUGGCUUCUUUUUCUUCCAUUUUUCUAUCUACAGAUUUCACACCUUGUGGUAAAUCACUAAGUGCAUUGGUUGCUUCUGACAUCACUUUGGUUUCUUUUAGGGGUUCUUGUAAUCUUGGGUUUUGAAAAUCCUGGUUUAUUAAUGGUUCUGAAAUCUUAAGUGUCUCUGGAUGAGACAUUUGUGAAAAAUCAUUUAUUAAGGGUUGAUUUGCUCUAUCCUCCUGUAUUGCUAAUGUGGGUGGUUUACCAGUCUUCGAUCCUUCUCCCUUUUCAUCAGUUCCUUUUAUAUCUUUAGAAGAUCCAGAUUUAAUAUUCAUUGGGUAAAUUUCUGGUUGAGUUUUCCGAAUAAGAAUUGAUUGUGGAGUUGAGGUUUCGUUCUUCUCCAUAGAUUCUUCUGCAUUUGUAGGGAAUCCUGGUGAUGUGUCUAUCAGUGAGCUCUGUACUUUUUGGAGGGGUUGGAAUAAUUUCUUGGUCAAAGGAAUUUCUGUUUGAUCCUGUCGAUAAACAGAUUCACCAUGUAUUUCUUCUACAGGUUUUUCUGCUUGCUUAAAAGGUUCUGAUUGGGAUGUGGGUAAAUGACUUGGUUUCAUUGUAGAAGAACUUAUUGUAUAUUCAUCCAACCUCUCCGUAUCCUUUGGAACUUGUUGCAUUUGCUUGUACGAAUCACUUGCUGGUUUGAAGUGUGGUUGAUUAGCUCCAUCAUUUGGUGUGAGUAAAAAAGGUAAUCUAGUCUUUUCUAAUUUUUCUCCAUUUUCAUUGGUUCCAGUUAUAGCUUUUGAAGGCUUAGAAUUAAUAUUCAUCAGGUUUAUCUCAGGUUGAGUAGUGGGAAUGAUAAUUGAAUCUAGAGUGGAUGUUUCCUUCUUCUCUAGGGGUUCUUGUGCAGGUUUUAGAUAUCUGUUAUCUAUCGGUAAACUUUUUUUUUGUUGGAGUUGAAAUCCUUCCUGAAUCAAAGGAGCUUCUGUUUGAUAAGAAGAUUCACCAAGUAUUCCUUCUACCGGUGUUUGUGCUUGCCGAGAUAAUUCUGUUUGGGAUGUGGGUAAGUGACUUGAUUUCAUUGCAGUAGAAAUGAUUUCAUCUACAGAGCUUUUCACAAUCCUUUCAUCUUGUUGUUUCUGCAUGUAUGAUUCAGUUGAUGGUUUGAUGGAUUGAUUAGUUCCGUCAUCUAGCUCAUCAGGUAAAAGAGGUGGUUGUCUAGUGUUUGAUUCUUUCUUUUUAUAAAACUUCUUAAGUUUAAAAGGUUCAGAUAUAACGUCGAUUGGAUAAAUACCUGCUUCAGUACUGGGUAUAAUUAUUGAUUGUGGAGUUGAGGCUUCCUUCUUCUCUAGGGGUUCUUCUACAGGUUUAGGAAAUCCUGAUUGGGUAUCUAUCGGGGAAAUCUUUACUCGUUGGAGGGGUUGGAGCCUUUCCUGAUUCAAAGAGGUUUCUGCUUGAUUGUGCUCAGAAGCAGCUUCACCAAGCAUUUCUUGUAUUGGUGUCUUCAUUUGUGUUUGUUUAGAUGGUUCUUCUUGGGAUGUGGGUAUGGGACUUGGUUUCAUUGUUGAAGAAAAGGUUUCUUCUACAGAACUUUUCACAAUCUCUUGACCUUUAUGUUUCUGCAUGUCUGAAUCAUUUGAUAGUUUGAAUGAUUGAUUAGCUCUGACAUCUUGCGUAGGUAAAAGGGGCGGUUGGUUAUUGUUUAAUUCUUCCCUUUUGUCAAACUUUGUAAGUUUAGAAGGUUCGGAUUUAAUGUCAGAUGUGUCGAUAUCUGCUCCAGUACUGGGAAUAAUUAAUGAUUGUGAAGUUGAGACUCUCUUCUUAUCUAGGGAUUCUUGUGAUGGUUUGAAGGAGUGUAUAGCUUCAUUUUCAGGUGUUGGUAAAAGAGGUAGUUCACUAGUGUUUGGAUCUUCCUUCUUUUCAUCAAGUGGUUUGGGAGAUCGAGGAGAUUUUGCUUGUGUAGGUAGUGGUAGUUUUUCCGAUGUAUUUUUCAGAGGUCGGGGGACGUCUUGUUCAACUGAUAUUGAAUCCUUUGGUAAUUUAGAUGGAUCGAUGAUUUGUUUUGGAGGGGUUGAACUUUUUUUCUCUGUGAAACUUUGAACAAGUUGUGAACUUUCUGGUUGUUUACCCAUGAAAGUUGGUAAUUUCGAUGGUAAAAUAACUUCUUUUUGCGUAGAUUGAAGAUUAGAAUCAAGAAAGUAUGUGGUCUCUUUCUCUUCCAUUUGUCUUUCUGCAGAUUUCACAUCUUUUGGUAAAUCUCUAAGUGUAUUGGUUUCUCCUGGCAUUACUUGGGUUUCUUUUACUGGUUCUUGUGAUUUUGAAUUUUGAAAUUUCUGGUCUAUUGGCGGUUCUGAAAUCUUAAGGGUGUCUGGGUGACUCAUUUGUGAAGAUGUAUUCAUCGAAGGAUCAAGUGGCUUCUGAUGGAUGGUUUUUGCUUUUGAUUCAGAUACAUUAGUAUUUUCCAAUAUAAAAUCAUUUUUCUUUUUUUCAAGGUAGUAUGAGAAUUCAGUAUCUUUUGAAUCUUGAUCUGAAAGAUCAUUUUGUGGCUGAGGUUGUAUGUCUGGGUAAUGCAAUGAUUCCUGAGUUUCUGAUUCAACUGAUUUGGGCACUUUCUUAAAAAGAACUAAUUGAGAGGCUACAGGAAGAGUUUUUCUUUCUCUCUUUUCCUGGGAUCCGUCUGACACUGGUUUAUCUUGUGGAUUCUUAUCAUUCAAGUUCGUUCCAUUUUCCUCAGUAUCCUGUGACAUUGGAGUCUCUGUUUCACUCAGCUUUGGAUCAAACUCGGUCAUUUUAUCUAAAUAUUCUAUGGACUGGGUAUCUUUUGAUUCGUGAUAUUGGAUUCCAAUUUUUGUUUGAGAUGAUCGAAGAUCCUUGGAUUGGGAAUCUGGAUCAAAAGGUCGAAAAAGAUUCUGAGUGAAUUCUUUUUCGCUUUCUUUUUGUCCAUUCUGCAAGGGUUCUAAUUUAUGUGUUUGUGAAUCUAAUGAUUGUUCAAAAGGCUCUAUAUUUUUUAGUUCAGGCUUUUGAAAUUCUAUUCCUUGAGCAUUUCUGAUAAGUUGUGGCUGGUCAUAACCAUGAUCAUCUGAUUCAUUGAUGCUUCCAAUAAAUUGUUCUAUGUUUCCUUGUGAGGGUUGUGGAGAUUCUAUCUUGUGAUAGGGUGUGUCUGAAGAUAGAUAUUUAUGAGGAUCUACAACAGUUGGUUGUUGAGAUGGAGUAAUUUUCUUUUGAAAUACAUGUUGGGGAGAUGUCUUGAUGGAUAUUGGGAAUUCAUUAGUUUCUUGCGUUGGAAACUUUGGUUUAGUUGUCGGAGUUGUUUCUUCAGGAAUAACAGGUGUUAUCUUUUCCCCAUUCUGCAUUGAAGGAUUUGAGAAUGGUUGGGGAUUCAACAAAAUUGGUAAUUUUGUCGAAAUAACUUUCUUAUGAGUCGGAUCAACAAAGUCUGUAGCAUUUUUUUCUUGUCCAAAAACUUGUGCAGUUUUUCUUUCAUGAUUAUAUAGUUCAAAGUGAGUUGUUUCAGCUAAUGUUUCCAAUGAUUUUUGUUCAGGAACAGAUAGCGAUUGGCUAGUAGGUUCAAGGCUAGCUGUUUCUGGAGAUUUCGGCUUAUCAAAAAAAUUAUUUUCCUUUGAUUCUUCUACAAGAUAAGAUUUAUCUUGUGCUGGUAAUUUUAUCUUACUAGAUGGUUUAUAUAGCCUAUUAUCUUCUUGAUGUAUAAACUUAGGUUUAUCUAGUUUGAAGGGUUCUAGGUUACCAUGUGAAUGUUGUGAAGGCUCUAGUUCAUGAGGGUCACUUUUGUAUGAUUUUUCAUGGGGUCUACGAGCAUCUAAUUCAUGAGCUUGGGAUUCAAGUAGUUCAUCUUCUAUCUGAAGAUACUCUAAUUGAGUAAGUUUAUGGGAAGCUGUUAAAUCCUGAAGAAUUAAGUUCUCUCUCUUUUUCUCAGAUUCUUGAGAUGGUGGUUGGUCUAUUGAUUUUUGAUGGCUUAUUUCAACUGUUGGUUCAGAAAAGUUUGAAUCUUCUUCAGAUAUAACUGAAGGAAUGGUUGUUCCUAAAGGAUAAAGAUCAUCUACAUUAUUUUUGUUUAUAUAUUUUAUAAUUUGGAUAUCUUCCGAAUCAAUGUCUUGAAUAUCAUUUUUUAUUUCAGAAGACUGGAGAUAUGCUUUAGAUUUUGGUUCAGGAGAAUUAAGUGAUUGAUUGAGGGGUUCUGAGAGGGUAUUCUUAA
rnacentral:lncRNA from 1 species